AGGGACUGGGGAGCUGCAGGCAGGGCCCGGGUUUGCUCUGGAGGGCAUGAGUGACCCAGGGCCGCGGGCUGGGUUAGUGAAAUGGCUCCUUUACCACGCGUCAACAUUUGGUAGAUCUAAUUUGAAAUGAGUUCCAGAGCGGGGAAAGGGCUGAGGCAAGGCUAUGACAGAACACAAGGCAAACAGCUGAAAACUGUAGUCAAAAGGCAGGCAAGCUGAGAAGGUGAUACAAAGAAGCCCAUCCGAAGUCGGAAGCAACAGGGAGGCUUUUAGGGAGGUCCUGGGUGCUUCAGAACACGGGCCUUCAGCUGAGACCUCUCCAGCUGCCUGGACACUUGCCGCUGGCAGGCCGAGUUGCUCAACACCCCGAAUUAACUUGGGACUGGAGUCCCCAUGUGAGGCCACGACAGCAGGACCUCUCAGAAGGGCCUGGAGGGGAAACACCCCGCAGCUCCAGCCUGUAAAGGUGCACGGGGAUGGCCACACACAGAGGAUUCCCUUGGCAGGAGGGAAAACCAUUAGCCCUAUGCUGUUUCUAGAUAGCGGAGAAUAAAGAGAAAUAAGAAGCAUUUUUCAUGUGUUCCUACAGAAGUAAUGGUUAUUUAGCAGUGCGUGACAGUGUGUUAUCAAGUGCAGUUAAUGACUCAGGGCCUGCUGUUGGUCAGGCUCAGGCCGAGGACAGCACAUAACACCUCUUGGAAGCUCCUCACUCUUCUGUUGCUCGAGUGGACGAUCGUCAGUUCAUGCCUUAAGAAAUCAGCU